rnacentral:rRNA from 1 species
UAUGUAGGGGGCGAGCGUUGUCCGGAAUCAUUGGGCGUAAAGCGCGUGUAGGCGGCUCGGUAAGUCCGGUGUGAAACCUUGGGGCUCAACCCCAAGCCUGCACUGGAUACUGUCGAGCUUGAGUCCGGGAGGGGAGAGCGGAAUUCCUAGUGUAGCGGUGAAAUGCGCAGAUAUUAGGAAGAACACCGGUGGCGAAGGCGGCUCUCUGGAACGGUACUGACGCUGAGACGCGAAAGCGUGGGGAGCGAACAGG